AUUAUUUUACUAACGCACUCACUUUUUUGCCGGAAGUCUAGAUGAAUAUCCACUCAUUUGAAUAUCCAAAAAAUAUGUCUGCGUUAUGUGGUUAUGAAGAAAAUGGGAGUUCCGUAAAAUAGUCAAGUUCUUGAAAAGGUUCCGUGAGUAAAAUAAUUUGGGAAACAGUGGGUUAUAAUAUUAGGUAUGACGUAUAAAAUAGGACCAUUCUAAACAGAAAAUAAACCACGAUCUUCUCUCGAAAAUAGCCAGAUACCAACACAAUAGUAUUAGAAUAUACCUUACCUAUCUAUCGGAAUUUGUCGGAAACUGGACGAUAUCGAGUGAAAUAAUCGGCCUCAGAAUGCGUAUACAAUAUUAUAAUCUACGUGAUUACGUUAUAUAUUAUAUAAUGCGACGAAUAUUAGACUAAUAAAAAUAAUACUAUAAUAUAAAGUAAGUUUGGUAUAUGGCCAGUGGCGUAGCCGGGAG